rnacentral:rRNA from 1 species
UACGUAGGUGGCAAGCGUUGUCCGGAUUUACUGGGCGUAAAGAGCGCGCAGGCGGUCGAUUUAGUCGCGUGUGAAAGCCCCCGGCUCAACUGGGGAGGUCACGCGAUACUGAUCGACUCGAAGGCAGGAGAGGGUAGUGGAAUUCCCGGUGUAGUGGUGAAAUGCGUAGAUAUCAAGAGGAACACCUGAGGUGAAGACGGGUUGCUGGGCUGACACUGACGCUGAGGCGCGAAAGCCAGGGGAGCAAACGGG